rnacentral:lncRNA from 1 species
AUUUUCUGGAUGUUUUCUCAUUUAACCAUAAAGGGAAUAGAAUUUGCUGUAAUGUAUUUAAAAGACUGAUGUAGUAAAUUACUGGCAUAUGAACAAUUCAAAACAGAUCCCCAAUUUACUAUUGCUCCAUGUUGAUACCAGACUUUUGGCCAUAAAAACAACCCCAAUAAUUUGGGUAGGGCAACUUUGUUCUAAUUGCCUGGUAAAAUCAACCUGGAGACCUUACACAAGCAGAGGAGGAGAGUAAUGUACAGUGGCCAAUGACAGAAAUUUUUCAUUGCUCUUAUAAUACUAAUAAAUGGUUAAUACUACAUUUUGGCCAAAUGUAAGGAAAGGAUAAAAUGCAUUUCAUUGAAAAUUAUGUGGUGUUGGCUCAGCUUAGCUUUCUACAUUGAAUGCUAAGACACUCGCUUGCUUUAAUGCUGCCCUUUGUCUGCACAGGUAAAGAAUAUGCAUGGGAAUAGCACAAGGCUGCAGGAGGGGGGCAGAUAACCUUGCAACACAACUGAGACAUUCCUGGAUAAUCAGAGGUUGUGGAAAGGAAGAAAAAGGAAGAUGUGACCUCCUGCAGAGCUGCUGGGAGCCAGGCACUACCAUCAGCACCGUCAACAGCCAUCACCUAUCCAGGUAUGGACCAACACAGAUCUCCCCAGUCAUGUACAGUGUGAGCUAAAGCCAGAGCUGGUGUAGAUACUCACAAAAGCGAAUUAAAGUGUCUUAAAGGAUCAUUACAAAGCUAGAGAUUUACUUGGCAGGUCUCUAUGACUUCUGGGGUGAUUUUUAUCUGUUGUGUAAAUCAGAAUCAUGGGAUUCUUUUACCCUGCUCUCUCUCUCUCUCUCUCUCUUUUUUUUUUUUUAAAUUGACAAACUGUUUGUUCAUUUAGAGCAGUUAUGCUUGAUUGUCCCAGUAAAUAAUAAGUGAGUGCUAUUCGUGAAUUAUUGUGCUGCUGGAUUUCCACAGAGAAGGGCCUAUUCUCUUCUGUGUGAAUGUGUGUGAAGAGGGAGUCCCACAGGCAUGAAGAAAAGUUAUA